rnacentral:misc_RNA from 1 species
GAUGAAGAACGCAGCGAAAUGCGAUAAGUAAUGUGAAUUGCAGAAUUCAGUGAAUCAUCGAAUCUUUGAACGCACCUUGCGCCUUUUGGUAUUCCGAAAGGCACACCUGUUUGAGCGUCAUGAAUACCUCAAUCUCCAUCUUUUCUUCGGAUUGAUGGGUGACUUGGAUGUUGAGCCCUGCUGGUAUGCUAUAUCAGCUGGCUUUAAACUUAUUAGCCGGCUCUGUACUGGAUCGGUUUGACUCGACGUGAUAAUAUUAUCGUUGAGGAUGCAUGUCUCGUGCAGCCGGAAAGUAUCAAAGCAGCUUCUAGCUUGCCUUUAGUGCACUUUUACAUUUUAGACCUCAGAUCAGGUGGGACUACCCGCUGAACUUAAGCAUAUCAAUAAGCGGAGGA